rnacentral:antisense_RNA from 1 species
ACUUUAAUAAAGGGAGAGCAGGAGAGUGGCGACGAAUUUCCACAUUCCGAACAAGCUUGUCGAAAGGGGAGUGUAGGGAAGGAGCAAGAAUGAGGCACUGGAAGACGGCUGUAGGCGCAUGAUGUUACAAGUUAUUGGAAGAAAUCCCUCCAACCUAGGUUGGGACAGAUGAAGGCGGCGCUUAUUGGUGUCCACCAAAACACCAGCAUGGUGUACCAGCUUUGGCUAGAUUAUGCUCGGAUAAAUACCUGGAGUGGGAUUGCUAGAUCACAUGGAAAACACAGAUCCUGGUGCCGAACAUGAGGACAAGACAGGCCGAAGGAGAAAGUGGAAGGAGGGGAUCUUCUCUCUCAGCCUCAUCCUCCUGGGCCUGGAUGCUGGAGAGUCAUGAGGUGCUUCAGAGUACUCUGGGUGAGGAGGGAAAGAUGGUGCCCACCACAUGGAGGCCAGCCUAGGUCUUGUAUGAAACCCGUGAGGAGAUUCUCUCUCCCUUGCUGGCUUUGAAAAAGCAAGUUGCCAUGUGAAGAGGGCCAUAUAGCACAGGAGCUGAAGGCGGCCUCCAACUGACAG